rnacentral:rRNA from 1 species
UGGAUCCAGACUUUGAUUAUGGCUCAGGAUGAACGCUAGCUACAGGCUUAACACAUGCAAGUCGAGGGGAAACGAUAUUGGAAGCUUGCUUCCGAUAGGCGUCGACCGGCGCACGGGUGAGUAACGCGUAUCCAACCUGCCCAUCACUUGGGAAUAACCUUGCGAAAGUAAGACUAAUGCCCAAUGACAUUUAUAGAAGGCAUCUGAAAUGAAUUAAAGAUUUAUCGGUGAUGGAUGGGGAUGCGUCUGAUUAGCUUGUCGGCGGGGUAACGGCCCACCAAGGCGACGAUCAGUAGGGGUUCUGAGAGGAAGGUCCCCCACAUUGGAACUGAGACACGGUCCAAACCCCUACGGGAGGCAGCAGUGAGGAAUAUUGGUCAAUGGGCGAGAGCCUGAACCAGCCAAGUAGCGUGCAGGAUGACGGCCCUAUGGGUUGUAAACUGCUUUUAUAGGGGAAUAAAGUGAGCCACGUGUGGUUUUUUGCAUGUACCCUAUGAAUAAGGACCGGCUAAUUCCGUGCCAGCAGCCGCGGUAAUACGGAAGGUCCGGGCGUUAUCCGGAUUUAUUGGGUUUAAAGGGAGC